rnacentral:rRNA from 1 species
AUUGAACGCUGGCGGCAGGCUUAACACAUGCAAGUCGAGCGGAGAUGAGGUGCUUGCACCUUAUCUUAGCGGCGGACGGGUGAGUAAUGCUUAGGAAUCUGCCUAUUAGUGGGGGACAACAUUCCGAAAGGAAUGCUAAUACCGCAUACGUCCUACGGGAGAAAGCAGGGGAUCUUCGGACCUUGCGCUAAUAGAUGAGUCUAAGUCGGAUUAGCUAGUUGGUGAGGUAAAGGCCUACCAAGGCGACGAUCUGUAGCGGGUCUGAGAGGAUGAUCCGCCACACUGGGACUGAGACACGGCCCAGACUCCUACGGGAGGCAGCAGUGGGGAAUAUUGGACAAUGGGGGGAACCCUGAUCCAGCCAUGCCGCGUGUGUGAAGAAGGCCUUAUGGUUGUAAAGCACUUUAAGCGAGGAGGAGGCUGCUGAGACUAAUACUCUUGGAUAGUGGACGUUACUCGCAGAAUAAGCACCGGCUAACUCUGUGCCAGCCGCCGCCGUAACAC